rnacentral:rRNA from 1 species
UACAGAGGUCUCGAGCGUUAGGCGGAAUCACUGGGCUUAAAGCGUGUGUAGGCGGAUUGGUAAGUACUUUGUGAAAUCCCACGGCUUAACCGUGGAACUGCUUGGUAUACUGCCAGUCUUGAGUCAGCUAGGGGCUACCGGAACAAAUGGUGGAGCGGUGAAAUGCGUAGAUAUCAUUUGGAACGCCAAUGGUGAAAACAGGUAGCUGGGGCUGUGCUGACGCUGAGACACGAAAGCCAGGGGAGCAAACGGG